rnacentral:rRNA from 1 species
AGAGUUUGAUCCUGGCUCAGGACGAACGCUGGCGGCGUGCCUAAUACAUGCAAGUCGUACGCUUCUUUUUCCACCGGAGCUUGCUCCACCGGAAAAAGAAGAGUGGCGAACGGGUGAGUAACACGUGGGUAACCUGCCCAUCAGAAGGGGAUAACACUUGGAAACAGGUGCUAAUACCGUAUAACAAUCGAAACCGCAUGGUUUUGAUUUGAAAGGCGCUUUCGGGUGUCGCUGAUGGAUGGACCCGCGGUGCAUUAGCUAGUUGGUGAGGUAACGGCUCACCAAGGCAACGAUGCAUAGCCGACCUGAGAGGGUGAUCGGCCACACUGGGACUGAGACACGGCCCAGACUCCUACGGGAGGCAGCAGUAGGGAAUCUUCGGCAAUGGACGAAAGUCUGACCGAGCAACGCCGCGUGAGUGAAGAAGGUUUUCGGAUCGUAAAACUCUGUUGUUAGAGAAGAACAAGGAUGAGAGUAACUGUUCAUCCCUUGACGGUAUCUAACCAGAAAGCCACGGCUAACUACGUGCCAGCAGCCGCGGUAAUACGUAGGUGGCAAGCGUUGUCCGGAUUUAUUGGGCGUAAAGCGAGCGCAGGCGGUUUCUUAAGUCUGAUGUGAAAGCCCCCGGCUCAACCGGGGAGGGUCAUUGGAAACUGGGAGACUUGAGUGCAGAAGAGGAGAGUGGAAUUCCAUGUGUAGCGGUGAAAUGCGUAGAUAUAUGGAGGAACACCAGUGGCGAAGGCGGCUCUCUGGUCUGUAACUGACGCUGAGGCUCGAAAGCGUGGGGAGCAAACAGGAUUAGAUACCCUGGUAGUCCACGCCGUAAACG